GUGCCAGCCGCCGCGGUAAGACGGAGGGUGCGAGCGUUAUUCGGAUUUAUUGGGCGUAAAGAGCAUGUAGGCGGUCGAUCAAGUCUGAUGUGAAAGCCCGGGGCUUAACCUCGGAAGGGCGUUGGAAACUGGUCGACUUGAGUUCGGGAGAGGAAAGCGGAAUUCCGGGUGUAGAGGUGAAAUUCGUAGAUAUCCGGAGGAACACCGGUGGCGAAGGCGGCUUUCUGGACCGAAACUGACGCUGAGAUGCGAAAGCGUGGGGAGCAAACAGGAUUAGAUACCCUGGUAGUCCACGCUGUAAACGAUGGGCGCUAGGUGUGGGGGGUUUUUAAUCCCUCCGUGCCGCAGCUAACGCAUUAAGCGCCCCGCCUGGGGAGUACGGCCGCAAGGUUAAA
rnacentral:rRNA from 1 species